rnacentral:lncRNA from 1 species
CACGGUGUCACGCUCCGCGACCGUCCGCCUAUUUGGCCGGGUCGCGGCACCGUCAACAGACCGCCGAACGGACAGAGUUUUCCCUGUACGUCCUAGGCGUCGCAAUCAAUACAAUAUACAAAUAUUCCAACCAGGAACUGAUAUCAAUCAAGAUUGCAUAAGGAAGUAUCAAUAACAUAAAACUAACUGCUAUUACAAGCAUUCACUUCAUACAACAUUUUACUUUUACAUUUGCUUAACUUCCAAAUACAAUCACAUUAUUACAUUUAAUACAA